rnacentral:lncRNA from 1 species
GUGAAAUCCUCUCUCAAAAUAAAAUAUAAAAAGCUCUGGUUGCCCAGUGGUUAAGCACCCCUAGGUUCAAUCCUUGGUACAAAAAAAAAAAAAAAGAAAAAGAAAAAGAAAAAAAGAAAUAAAACAACAACUUGUGAUAUUCAGUAUCAUUCAAGAUUUAUAGCUUUCUCUCAUAUUUCUGCCUGCUAUCAAAUCUCUUAUCCCAGACAUACUAAACUAUUUUCAGUUUUUUAAAUCUAAGAUUAUUUUUUAUUACCUUAUGUCAUGGAACCAUUUUUUUUUUUUUGGCUCAAAUGCCCUUCCACUGCCUAAUUCAUUUUGCAAGCACAUAUUCUUUCCUAAGGCCAAAGAGCAAACACUUCCUCUAUAAAAUUUCCUUUGCCUUUCAGUACUACUUCUUGGAACUGCUAAUUCUCUGUGGUGAUCCUAAUUUGUGGUGCCACUGUUGUAAAGUGUUCCUUUUACUUACAUAAUUCAUUAUCACAUUCCAUUGCACUAAUUUUCUCUAUACACUUGAAGUAGCUUCUUGUCUUAUUAUAUUUGAAUCUUCUGCACUGAGCAUCUAGUAAGCACUCAGUAAAUGUUUGCCUCACAAAUAAAUCAGUUUUUCCCUUCAUAACUCUUGUUAACAUUAAACAGUCUGAACUAAUUCACAAUCUUCUGACUACAGCUCAAACCAAUUGCUGCUUUCCCUUGUUUUAGACAGGAAGUGAAUGUGAUAGAAAUUUUCCUGUCAUCUCAGAGAUAAUUGAAUAAAGAAUAAAGGCAGGGGUGUUUGGUCCUACACCCUGAUAGUAUGCCCAUGUAGUCAAACACUUUUACUCUGAGCUACAUAUUUCUAGAAGUGAUGAGAUAUACCCUCAAUCUAGUGAGGGCAACAAACAUGCACAGAUAAUAGAAGGGAAUAUUUGAUGGAAACAUGGUAAUGAGGUAAUGAGAAGACACUUAAGGAGGUGGUUGCAUUUGCAUUUAGCAUUUAGCAUUCUAAAUUGGAGCAUAUGCUGUUGCCUUUAUAAGUGAUAACAGCACAAUGUGUAUCAAAGAUUUCUAUCUACUUAUGACUAUAAGACUCUCUGCUGGUAUCAAGUUUAUGCAAUGAGUAGGAAAACCAAAUCAGUGAUUGCUUGGUAACUAAGUUUAUACUUGUUGUAGGUCAAGUGAUGAUUAUUUAUGCUUUUAGUGCCUUCCCCUUUCAGUUUCAAAAUUAUCCCAGUGUAAAUGAUAAAUUAUACAUUAUACUGGGGGUGAUCCAUCACCUUAGAGGAGAUUUAUAAUAGGAAGUCAUGGAGGUAGGAGAUAAUAUUCAUUGUAUCUGUUAAAUAUAUUUUUAUAUUUAAUUAUUACAAAAACUUUUGUGGAAAAUUUGUAAUAUUACGGUUAUCCUAGCUUUAUAGAAAAGGGAAUUGAGGCACAAAAAGGUUCACAAAUGGUACUCAAGCCAUAUGGUUAAUAAAUGUAAGAGGUAAGAGUA